AUUGAACGCUGGCGGCAUGCCUUACACAUGCAAGUCGAACGGUAACAGGUCUUCGGAUGCUGACGAGUGGCGAACGGGUGAGUAAUACAUCGGAACGUGCCUAGUAGUGGGGGAUAACUACUCGAAAGAGUGGCUAAUACCGCAUGAGAUCUACGGAUGAAAGCAGGGGAUCGCAAGACCUUGUGCUACUAGAGCGGCCGAUGGCAGAUUAGGUAGGUGGUGGGAUAAAAGCUUACCAAGCCGACGAUCUGUAGCUGGUCUGAGAGGACGAUCAGCCACACUGGGACUGAGACACGGCCCAGACUCCUACGGGAGGCAGCAGUGGGGAAUUUUGGACAAUGGGCGCAGGCCUGAUCCAGCAAUGCCGCGUGCAGGAUGAAGGCCUUCGGGUUGUAAACUGCUUUUGUACGGAACGAAAAGCCCCGGGUUAAUACCCUGGGGUCAUGACGGUACCGUAAGAAUAAGCACCGGCUAACUACGUGCCAGCCGCCGCAGUAA
rnacentral:rRNA from 1 species